AAUGAACGCUGGCGGUAUGCUUAACACAUGCAAGUCGAACGAAUCUUUCGGGAUUAGUGGCGGACGGGUGAGUAACGCGUGAGAACCUGCCUUUGAGAUGGGGACAACAGUUGGAAACGACUGCUAAUACCCAAUACGCCGAAAGGUGAAAGAUUUAUCGCUCAGAGAGGGGCUCGCGUCCGAUUAGCUAGUUGGUGGGUAAGAGCUUACCAAGGCAGCGAUCGGUAGCUGGUCUGAGAGGACGAGCAGCCACACUGGGACUGAGACGCGG
rnacentral:rRNA from 1 species